GCCCGUGAUGAGCUGCCUAAUGUUUAGAGGAUGUUGUUAGCUCAAGUUCCUGUUUAUCAGGAAGAACCUACUUGUAGCGCUACUGCAUUCACAAGAUAUCAAUAGGCUUCCUGAGGU
rnacentral:snoRNA from 1 species